rnacentral:rRNA from 1 species
AUGGGCUGCUACUUGUUAUGGAGAUGUUUGUUCGUGGUCCUCUCUGUAGUUUGUCCCAUGUUUCUGAGUUCUUCGGGCUGCUUGAUGGAGGAGAGAGCAGCCCUCAUGGAUAUUCGCUCUUGGCUUGUGAAUGCAGAGUCCAAGGUUCCCAGUUCUUGGGGAGACGGUGGUGACUGCUGCUCGUGGGAAAGGAUAACGUGCGACAAUACCACACACCGAGUGUCUCAUCUUAACCUUUUCCAAAUCUACCAAGAAAACCUACAGUAUAGCGAAGAUGAAUGUCCGAAUCUUAACUUGACGAUAUUUUCUUCGUUUCGGGAGCUUCAACUACUGAAUUUCUCUGGACACUACGCUUGUUCACAAAAUUUCGAGGGUCUCCAAGGAUUGAGUAAGCUAGCUCAAGUAUCUCGACCUCAGUUACAACAGUUUUCAAGGUGGGGGUAUCCCGGGAUCUGUUGGCAAAUUGGUUUCUCUAGAAGUCAUAAAUCUCAAUGGAAACAACAUAGGUGGGACUCUUCAUAG